GAUGAACGCUGGCGGCGUGCCUAAUACAUGCAAGUCGAGCGAACAGAUAAGGAGCUUGCUCCUUUGACGUUAGCGGCGGACGGGUGAGUAACACGUGGGUAACCUACCUAUAAGACUGGGAUAACUUCGGGAAACCGGAGCUAAUACCGGAUAACAUUUGGAACCGCAUGGUUCUAAAGUGAAAGAUGGUUUUGCUAUCACUUAUAGAUGGACCCGCGCCGUAUUAGCUAGUUGGUAAGGUAACGGCUUACCAAGGCGACGAUACGUAGCCGACCUGAGAGGGUGAUCGGCCACACUGGAACUGAGCAACGGUCCAGACUCCUACGGGAGGCAGCAGUAGGGAAUCUUCCGCAAUGGGCGAAAGCCUAACGGAGCAACGCCGCGUGAGGGAUGAAGGAUUUCGGCUCGUAAAACUCUGUUAUUAGGGAAGAACAAAUGUGUAAGUAACUGUGAACGUCUUGACGGUACCUAAUCAGAAAGCCACGGCUAACUACGUG
rnacentral:rRNA from 1 species